ACCCUGCUGUAGUUCACAAGCAUGGCGACCGGUCUGCAUACUUCUGUUCGAGACGUGUCUCCCGCUGCACCUUGUUACGACUUUGGGACACUGCCCAUCUGGCA